rnacentral:lncRNA from 1 species
CUGGUUCAAUUAAGUGCUGGGCAACACAAGAUUAGGCAGGUCCCAAAUGGAUAUUGAUCUCUUUAGGGAGCCCUCAUCUAUGAGUACGACCACUACGCCUACCAAAAUCACCUUAUUUAUUUCAAUGACAAAGAUUUUAACAUAAAAAUCUAAAUAUGCAGAAGAACGAUUUUAACAUAAAAAGCUAAAUAUGCAGAAGAACAUUUGAUAGAAAUCAAGUUUCAUGAAAUCAAAAUAUUGCAUCAUAUGUUUAUGGGGAUUCUCUAGUACUAUACACUCAC